rnacentral:rRNA from 1 species
GAAUUGUAUUUUCAAAAUGCAUUGCUAACACAACUGCACAUGUUUGUUUAUUGGAAAGAACAUCACAAAGGGUGACAAUCCCAUGUGUCAUGUGUAUGUUUUGUGUACAGCGUGCAUUAUAUGAAUCACAUUCAUUGACAAUUGAAUGCAAAUAGAAUGGUAAAUUUCAUUUAAUCAUAAAUAUGUUGUUGACAACUUAUAGCAAACAAAUACCAUGAGGGAAAUGUGAAAAGGAUUUUGAAAAGAAAAUUAAAAGAGCUUGCAAUUGCUGAACUGAUAAGCAAACAAAACAUACGUGUGUAUGCAAGAUUGUUGUAAUGCUUAGCAUCUUAUGCAAGGCUAUUGCAAUGAUUUUUUGUAUAGUGAUGCUACCUUUUUUUAGAAUUUGGAAUGUCUUUUUUUGAAUGUGAAUGGAAUUUUGUUUGUUAACAAAGGAAUGCACUUUUAGAUUCAUUGNNNGAUUUG